ACGCUGGCGGCGUGCCUAAUACAUGCAAGUCGAACGCACAGCGAAAGGUGCUUGCACCUUUCAAGUGAGUGGCGAACGGGUGAGUAACACGUGGACAACCUGCCUCAAGGCUGGGGAUAACAUUUGGAAACAGAUGCUAAUACCGAAUAAAACUUAGUGUCGCAUGACACAAAGUUAAAAGGCGCUUCGGCGUCACCUAGAGAUGGAUCCGCGGUGCAUUAGUUAGUUGGUGGGGCAAAGGCCUACCAAGACAAUGAUGCAUAGCCGAGUUGAGAGACUGAUCGGCCACAUUGGGACUGAGACACGGCCCAAACUCCUACGGGAGGCUGCAGUAGGGAAUCUUCCACAAUGGGCGAAAGCCUGAUGGAGCAACGCCGCGUGUGUGAUGAAGGCUUUCGGGUCGUAAAGCACUGUUGUAUGGGAAGAACAGCUAGAAUAGGAAAUGAUUUUAGUUUGACGGUACCAUACCAGAAAGGGACGGCUAAAUACGUGCCAGCAGCCGCGGUAAUACGUAUGUCCCGAGCGUUAUCCGGAUUUAUUGGGCGUAAAGCGAGCGCAGACGGUUUAUUAAGUCUGAUGUGAAAGCCCGGAGCUCAACUCCGGAAUGGCAUUGGAAACUGGUUAACUUGAGUGCAGUAGAGGUAAGUGGAACUCCAUGUGUAGCGGUGAAAUGCGUAGAUAUAUGGAAGAACACCAGUGGCGAAGGCGGCUUACUGGACUGCAACUGACGUGAGGCUCGAAAGUGUGGGUAGCAAAC
rnacentral:rRNA from 1 species